UUUCUUUUUUUUUUCUUGUCUCCUCUCUCUCUCUCUCUCUCUCUCUCACCAUCACACAGAACACAUAAGAACCAUGGCCGCUUCUUCUUCCUCUGCUGCUUCCUUCUUUGGAGUUCGACAAGAUGAACAGUCUCACCUGCUUCCUCUUAAUUCCUCCGCAGCCGUUCCUGCUCCUCCUCACCACCAGCCACCGCAGCCUCAGCAACCCCUUGAAGCUCCACCGCAGAAAAAGAAAAGAAACCAACCAAGAACUCCAAAUUCAGAUGCAGAAGUGAUAGCUUUAUCUCCAAAGACACUAAUGGCUACAAAUAGAUUCAUAUGUGAAGUAUGCAACAAAGGGUUUCAAAGAGAACAGAAUCUACAGCUACACCGAAGAGGACACAAUCUUCCAUGGAAACUUAAGCAAAAAUCGACCAAAGAAGUGAAGAGGAAGGUGUAUCUUUGUCCGGAACCCUCGUGCGUCCACCAUGACCCGUCACGUGCUCUCGGAGACCUCACCGGAAUCAAGAAACAUUAUUACCGUAAACACGGUGAAAAGAAGUGGAAAUGCGAGAAAUGUUCUAAGCGUUACGCUGUUCAAUCUGAUUGGAAAGCUCACUCCAAGACUUGUGGUACCAAAGAAUAUCGUUGCGAUUGUGGUACACUCUUCUCCCGGCGAGACAGUUUCAUUACGCAUAGAGCCUUCUGUGACGCAUUGGCUCAAGAAAGUGCGAGACACCCAACUUCUUUGACAUCUUUGCCAAGUCACCACUUUCCCUACGGACAAAACACCAACAACUCCAACAACAACACUUCAAGCAUGAUCCUUGGUUUGCCCCAUAUGGGGGCCCCACAGAAUCUUGAUCAUCAGUCCGGUGACGUUCUUCGACUUGGAAGCGGCGGAGGAGGUGGAGGGGGCGCCUCGCGAUCUUCCUCUGAUCUCAUUGCUGCAAAUGCUUCAGGUUACUUCAUGCAAGAGCAAAACCCUAGCUUUCAUGAUCAGCAAGACCAUCAUCAACAUCAACAACAAGGGUUUUUGGCUGCAAACAGUAACAUCAAGCCAUCUACAAUGAAUUUUCAACAGAGUCUGAUGCAGUUCUCAAAUGAUAACCAUAAUUCUCCUUCCUCCAAUCUCUUCAAUCUAAGCUUUCUAUCUGGAAACAAUGGAGUUGCUUCUGCUACAAGCAACCCAAAUGCUGCUGCUGUUUCUUCGGGUAAUCAUAUGAUUUCAAACCAUUUUGGUGGUGAAAAUGCUGUUGGAGGCAGCGGAGGAGGAAGUACUGGUCUCUUCCCUAACAAUCUGAUGAGUUCAGCAGGCAGAAUCAACUCAGGAGCAGUGCCUUCACUCUUUAGCUCGUCAAUGCAAAACCCUAAUUCAGCGCCUCACAUGUCAGCCACUGCUCUUCUUCAGAAAGCUGCUCAAAUGGGUUCAACCUCAAGCAGCAGCAACAACAACAAUACAAACAAUGCCUCGUCGAUUCUAAGAAGCUUUGGGAGUGGAAUGUACGGAGAAAACGAGAGUAAUCUUCACGAUUUGAUGAACUCUUUCUCUAACCCGGGCGCAACUGGAAACAACCUUAAUGCAGUAGAUUCUCAGUUUGGGACGUACGGUGGAGUGAACAAAGGACUAAGCGCUGAUAAACAGAACAUGACUAGAGACUUUCUUGGAGUUGGACAGAUUGUAAGAAGCAUGAGUGGAAGCGCAGGGUUUCAACAACAACAGCAGCAGCAGCAUGGGAAUGGUGGUAAAGAAAGAGUUGGCUCUUCCUCUGAUUCCGCCGACAGAAACAGCAUGAACGUGAAUCCUGGUGGUGGUGGUUCUACAAGUUCACCAUCGUAUGGAAUCCAUCAUGCUAGUUUCUAGCUAAAGGAAAAAAAUUAAAAGGUUUUACAUUCAUCAGAGUACGUACAUGCUAUAUCUUUCAGUCAAUGAGUUGGAGAGUACAAGCAGCCUUUGCUAAGUUUCUUUGUCUUUUUGUUUUUAUUUUCUUUUCAUUUGCCUUUUUAUUCUUCAAUUUCUUUUCAUUUGUCCUCGAUCACUAGCUGGCAAUGUCACGAGUGUAUGUCCUGUGAUCCCCUUUCUAAAUAUCUCGGUACAUGUAUACAUACAUGUCACAUGUGCAUAAAUAUGUGCAUUUGUAUGUAACAUAUUCCUACCAUAUCCUAAAGGGUUGUCCCCAUCAUAUUUUAAAUUUACGGUCCAAAAUAAACAAUUCUGUCUCAACA